rnacentral:miRNA from 1 species
AAAGAAUAGAAAAUCGAAGGUG